CAGAGCACAAGUGAGGGGGCAGAAAGAGGGGGACGGAGGAUCUGAAGUGAGUUCUGCUCUGACAGUGACAGUAACGAGCCUGAGGAUACUAACUGUUGGAGCUCCAGCCACCAUGUAGGAAGUCUGGCUAUCCCGAGGCUGCCUUGUGGAGAGUCUACAUGGAGUGAUGACAUAUGGAAAGAAAAAAACAGCCCCAUAUCCUCCACUAACCAGAUGUUUGCAUCAUUCCAGCCCAGGCAGUGUAGGCAACCGACAGAAGAAUUCUGCGGACAGAAUUCAGGCCACUGCAGCUGUAGCUGUACACAGGCAACUGGCAUGUCUGGAAAAUCGGGUGGUAAUUCUGAUUCCAAGUUAGCAAACGUGGGACUCCCUAUCAUUUGAAUCAAUGAACAUAUUUUCAUUUUUGGCAUUACAGAAAUCCAGGCACAACAUUAGCAUGAUAGUUCUAAUCAGGAGUUGCCAAUGCUGAUGCCCCCGGACAAGCCCUGAAGUGGGAAAGAUUGCAGCCGGUGAGUCAGAGAGCCUGCAGGAGGCGCUGCAGCUGUGGUAAGUGGAAAAGCCUUGUGGACACCAGAAUUUGACUAAGUGUUGUCUCUGGCCCAGUUUAGUCAGAUCUUCCCAUUUUUAAAGAAAAACUAGAGAUGUACUUAAAAAAACAAAACAGUUCAUCAUAUUUUAAAAUAUAGGCUCAAUUAGGAAAAACAUAAUCUGUGUAGGCCAAAACGGGUGUUUGUAUAUACCUCCACCACUAGUUUAUGACCUCUGCCCUAGAAUUUCAAAAACAAAAGCACGUUUUUAAAUUUUCUUUCCCAUUUCUCAGUAAAGCUAACAGAUUUUUUUUUUUUCUGCGUUAGAGCAAAAAAGCAUUUAGUUUGUAGAUGAUGUGGAGAAAUGAGGAAUCCAGGCUUUAGGAAUAAAUGACUGCCUCCAUCCUGGGGGAAGGGAAAAGAUCCCCUUCAUUUUAGUUGGAACAACAAUGAAAAGAAACCACAAGGUAAUUCUCAGUAGGUUAUCUUGCAUAUUAAAUUAUUACUAAUUGCCUUGCUAUAGUUAUUAAUAUUCUUGAUCAGGCAUGUGAAUUGAAUAUAAAAUAAUGUACUAUGCUGAGAAGCAAGUGGGGUUCAAUGUCUUUUUGGGUUUAUGGCCAGCAUCUGUAUUCUCUUCUCUGCUAAUCUAAGAGGAACAGGAUAAUUCUGUUACCUUAGAUAAAGGGAUUAGGAGGCAGCCCCUCUCUUCCUGAUUCUUAUGCAUAUACUCACUUUAUAAAAUUUUUGGAUCCAUAAAUCCCAUGGGCUCAGUUUAAAUGUGUUGAGGGAUUAUGAAAGCCAAUGGAUUAUGAGAUCUUUAGAGAUAUUUUUACACAACAGAACUCAUAGUUAUUCCAUCACAGGACACCCCUCCCUCCGGUUCCUCCCCCCUCCCCCCCACUUCUAUAUGUAUUUAGGGCUUAUUUUUAAAUUGUUUCUCUUCUCUUUUCAUCCACCUGCUGCCAGGCAUUUCCACAUUUUAUUCAUUAAAUUAGAAGAAAUGUUGCAGACAUUCUGAGACUAUAAGAUUUCUUUCCUGCCCCAAUUUCUUUUUGGCAAGACUGCUGUAUAUGUUAGUAUGGAAGAAUGUGCUCUGUAUACCUUUAAGGAGUGCCUGGAGUUGAACAGAGUUCAAAUGACACAGCUAUACAUAUUGUCAUUCCUCCUAGCAGCUGCUUUAGACACAAGGAUAAGGACAGUGACUUCAUUAAUUAAUCUAUCAGAACCUCUGCUUACCUUCCUAUAACGUGUAUACAUAAAAUCUGUGGCAUAGGUACAUGGCAACAUCUGAUCAUGCUACUUUCUUUCAUUAAAAAGUCUUUAAUUUCUCUCCAGUGCCUUCAGGAUAAAGUCUGUUAUCAGUGAAUUCUAAAAGUGGUGGGCUGAUUUUAUCAUGAUCCCUUGCAUGAGUUUAAAAAAUGGAUUCCUAGGGGCACCUGGGUGGCUCAAUCAGUUAAGCAUCUGAUUUCGGCUCAGGUCAUGAUCUCACAGUUUGUGAGCUUGAGCCCUGCAUUAGACUCUGUGCUGACAGCUCGGAGCCUGGAGCCUGCUUUGAGUUCUGUGUCUCUCCCUCUCUCUCUGCCCCUCUCCCACUCACACUGUCUCUCUCAAAAGUAAAUAAAUAAACAUAAAAACAAAAUCUCUAUAAAAAAUGGAUUCUUAGACUCCAGACUGAUGAUUUUGGCUUGAAAGACAAGUGAAGUCUGGGAGUCCGUGUUCUGAAAAGCACUCCCCCAGACACUGCUAGCCUGGGAGUUUCUGAUGCACAGUUAUGUUUAGGCAACACUGGUCUGUGUCCCUGGUGGAUUGCAAAGCCCUUCGCAACUGGGCUUUAACCAACUUGACUUCAUACCGUAUAUUGCAUUUCAGCUUUUCCGGAAUAUUCACCAUCACUGAAUAUAUCAUGCUCUUCAGUGCCUUAAUUACAUUACGCAUUCUUUCUGUCUGGCAAGAGUUUUUCUUGGACUUUUUUUCAGUUAAGUGAACUUGUUUCUUGACCUCUAAGACAUAAAUGAAAUGAUACCCUCUUGAAUUGUAUUUCUAGUACUCCCACACGUAGAAUCAAUUAUUCCUGCCUCUAAAUUCUUACAAUAGUAUGUAUUACACUGAGUACCUGGAUGGCUCAGUUGGUUAGGCAUCCAGGUCUUGAUCUCAGGGUCAUGAGUUCAAGCCUCGCAUUGGUCUCUGUGCUGGUAUGAAGCCUACUUUAAAAAAAAAAAAAAGUGAUUCUCAAAAACUGUUGGUCAGAUACUUCCCCAAAACAUGUUUAAAAUUACACACUUAGGGCGCCUGGGUGGCUGAGUAGGUUGAGUGUCCGACUUCGGCUCAGGUCAUGAUCUCACGGUC